UACGUAGGGGGCAAGCGUUGUCCGGAAUCAUUGGGCGUAAAGCGCGUGUAGGCGGCCAGAUAAGUCCGCUGUGAAAACUCGGGGCUUAACCCCGAGCCUGCAGUGGAUACGGGCAGACUAGAGGUAGGUAGGGGAGAAUGGAAUUCCCGGUGUAGCGGUGAAAUGCGCAGAUAUCGGGAGGAACACCAGUGGCGAAGGCGACUACCUGGCCUGUUCUUGACGCUGAGGCGCGAAAGCUAGGGGAGCAAACGGG
rnacentral:rRNA from 1 species